UAGGGAAUCUUCGGCAAUGGACGAAAGUCUGACCGAGCAACGCCGCGUGAGUGAAGAAGGUUUUCGGAUCGUAAAACUCUGUUGUUAGAGAAGAACAAGGACGUUAGUAACUGAACGUCCCCGGACGGUAUCUAACCAGAAAGCCACGGCUAAUUACGUGCAAGCAGCCGCGGUAAUACGUAGGUGGCAAGAGUUGUCCGGAUUUAUUGGGCGUAAAGCGAGCGCAGGCGGUUUCUUAAGUCUGAUGUGAAAGCCCCCGGCUCAACCGGGGAGGGUCAUUGGAAACUGGGAGACUUGAGUGCAGAAGAGGAGAGUGUAAUUCCCUGUGUAGCGGUGAAAUGCGUAGAUAUAUGGAGGAACACCAGUGGCGAAGGCGGCUCUCUGGUCUGUAACUGACGCUGAGGCUCGAAAGCGUGGGGAGCAAACAGG
rnacentral:rRNA from 1 species